rnacentral:tRNA from 1 species
GGUGAUGGUUGGGUUGUUGGUCAAACCCAUCGGACUGUAACUCCGACGCUAACGCUAUCUAGGUUCGAAUCCUAGCGUCACCA